rnacentral:rRNA from 1 species
UACGGAGGAUCCAAGCGUUAUCCGGAUUUAUUGGGUUUAAAGGGUGCGUAGGCGGAUUAGUAAGUCAGUGGUGAAAGCCUGCAGCUUAACUGUAGAAUUGCCAUUGAUACUGCUAGUCUUGAAUGUAGUUGAGGUGGGCGGAAUAUGACAUGUAGCGGUGAAAUGCUUAGAUAUGUCAUAGAACACCGAUUGCGAAGGCAGCUCACUAAGCUAUGAUUGACGCUGAGGCACGAAAGCGUGGGGAGCAAACAGG